rnacentral:rRNA from 1 species
UACGUAGGGGGCGAGCGUUAUCCGGAUUUAUUGGGCGUAAAGCGUGCGUAGGCGGUCUGUUAAGUCAGCGGUCAAAGCCCGGGGCUCAACCCCGGCGAGCCGUUGAAACUGGCGGGCUGGAGUUGGAGAGAAGUACGCGGAAUGCGCGGUGUAGCGGUGAAAUGCUUAGAUAUCGCGCAGAACCCCGAUUGCGAAGGCAGCGUACCGGCUCCACACUGACGCUGAGGCACGAAAGCGUGGGUAUCGAACAGG